rnacentral:rRNA from 1 species
GACGAACGCUGGCGGCGUGCUUAACACAUGCAAGUCGAACGAAGUGGCGAACGGGUGAGUAACGCGUAAUCAACCUGCCCUUCAGAGGGGGACAACAGUUGGAACCGACUGCUAAUACCGCAUACUGAAGGAGGGGAUUGCGUCUGAUGAGCUAGUUGGAGGGGUAACGGCCCACCAAGGCGAUGAUCAGUCGCCGGUCUGAGAGGAUGAACGGCCACAGUGGGACGGAGAAACGGCCCAGACUCCUACGGGAGGAAGCAGUAGGGAAUCUUCGGCAAUGGACGAAAGUCUGACCGAGCAACGCCGCGUGAGUGAAGAAGGUUUUCGGAUCGUAAAACUCUGUUGUUAGAGAAGCGGUAUCUAACCAGAAAGCCACGGCUAACUACGUGCCAGCCGCCGCGGUAAUAC